GUGUCAGCAGCCGCGGUAAUACAGGGGGCUCGAGCGUUAGUCGGAAUCACUGGGCUUAAAGGGUGCGUAGGCGGCUCGCCAGGUGCUUUGUGAAAUCCCACAGCUCAACUGUGGAACAGCAGGGCAAACCGGCGGGCUUGAGGCAGGUAGGGGCCGGAAGAACAGUAGGUGGAGCGGUGAAAUGCGUAGAUAUCUACUGGAAUGCCGAUGGGGAAGCCGUCCGGCUGGGCCUGUCCUGACGCUGAGGCACGAAAGCGUGGGGAGCAAACAGGAUUAGAUACCCUGGUAGUCC
rnacentral:rRNA from 1 species